CCCAGUAAACGGCGGCCGUAACUAUAACGGUCCUAAGGUAGCGAAAUUCCUUGUCGGGUAAGUUCCGACCCGCACGAAAGGCGUAACGAUUUGGGCACUGUCUCAACGAGAGACUCGGUGAAAUCAUAGUACCUGUGAAGAUGCAGGUUACCCGCGACAGGACGGAAAGACCCCGUGGAGCUUUACUGUAGCCUGAUAUUGAAAUUCGGCACAGCUUGUACAGGAUAGGUAGGAGCCUUUGAAACGUGAGCGCUAGCUUACGUGGAGGCGCUGGUGGGAUACUACCCUAGCUGUGUUGGCUUUCUAACCCGCACCACUUAUCGUGGUGGGAGACAGUGUCAGGCGGGCAGUUUGACUGGGGCGGUCGCCUCCUAAAAGGUAACGGAGGCGCUCAAAGGUUCCCUCAGAAUGGUUGGAAAUCAUUCAUAGAGUGUAAAGGCAUAAGGGAGCUUGACUGCGAGACCUACAAGUCGAGCAGGGUCGAAAGACGGACUUAGUGAUCCGGUGGUUCCGCAUGGAAGGGCCAUCGCUCAACGGAUAAAAGCUACCCCGGGGAUAACAGGCUUAUCUCCCCCAAGAGUUCACAUCGACGGGGAGGUUUGGCACCUCGAUGUCGGCUCAUCGCAUCCUGGGGCUGUAGUCGGUCCCAAGGGUUGGGCUGUUCGCCCAUUAAAGCGGUACGCGAGCUGGGUUCAGAACGUCGUGAGACAGUUCGGUCCCUAUCCGUCGUGGGCGUAGGAAAUUUGAGAGGAGCUGUCCUUAGUACGAGAGGACCGGGAUGGACAUACCUCUGGUGUACCAGUUGUCGUGCCAACGGCAUAGCUGGGUAGCUAUGUGUGGACGGGAUAAGUGCUGAAAGCAUCUAAGCAUGAAGCCCCCCUCAAGAUGAGAUUUCCC
rnacentral:rRNA from 1 species